CCUACGGGAGGCAGCAGUAGGGAAUCUUCCGCAAUGGACGAAAGUCUGACGGAGCAACGCCGCGUGAACGAUGAAGGCCUUCGGGUCGUAAAGUUCUGUUGUUAGGGAAGAACAAGUGCUAGUUGAAUAAGCUGGCACCUUGACGGUACCUAACCAGAAAGCCACGGCUAACUACGUGCCAGCAGCCGCGGUAAUACGUAGGUGGCAAGCGUUGUCCGGAAUUAUUGGGCGUAAAGCGCGCGCAGGCGGUUUCUUAAGUCUGAUGUGAAAGCCCCCGGCUCAACCGGGGAGGGUCAUUGGAAACUGGGAAACUUGAGUGCAGAAGAGGAAAGUGGAAUUCCAAGUGUAGCGGUGAAAUGCGUAGAGAUUUGGAGGAACACCAGUGGCGAAGGCGACUUUCUGGUCUGUAACUGACGCUGAGGCGCGAAAGCGUGGGGAGCAAACAGGAUUAGAUACCCUGGUAGUCCACGCUGUAAACGAUGAGUGCUAAGUGUUAGAGGGUUUCCGCCCUUUAGUGCUGAAGUUACGCAUUAAGCACUCCGCCUGGGGAGUACGGUCGCAAGACUGAAACUCAAAGAGUAUAGGACGUGAGAGAGCGACGACGACGACGACGGAGGAGAG
rnacentral:rRNA from 1 species